rnacentral:rRNA from 1 species
UACGUAGGGUGCAAGCGUUGUCCGGAAUUAUUGGGCGUAAAGAGCUCGUAGGCGGUGUGUCACGUCGUUCGUGAAAACCUGCAGCUUAACUGUGGGCGUGCGGUCGAUACGGGCAUCACUGGAGUUCGGCAGGGGAGACUGGAAUUCCUGGUGUAGCGGUGAAAUGCGCAGAUAUCAGGAGGAACACCGGUGGCGAAGGCGGGUCUCUGGGCCGAUACUGACGCUGGAGGAGCG